GUGGCUGGUUCCGCAGCACAUAUACUAAAAUUGGAAGGAUACAAAGAUUAGCAUGGCCCCUGAGCAAGCAUGGUAUGGAAAUUCUUGAAACGUUACAUUAAAAA